AUAAAAUAAAUAAGUCUUGGUCAAACGAUGAAGAGAGUUGAUGUGAGUUGGCAGCCACGCAUUGCACGGGGGACAUUUCGAGCUCUAGAUUAACAAAAGAAAGGUUUGAUGAGUGUUCUACGCUUUCAUGAUAGUGUUGGGAAAGCAUUAAGAACAGCGAACCAAGGUCACAUGACUGCCAACUCUCAUUGCUGCCGAGCGUAGCUCGGCAGCACACUAAUCUCUACACGUGGUGUGCUUACCACGUGACCGCCGAGUUUAUAGCCUCUACAAUCUCGAUUUAUGUCAUUCUGUCAUCCACG